rnacentral:rRNA from 1 species
UACGUAGGGUGCGAGCGUUGUCCGGAAUUAUUGGGCGUAAAGAGCUUGUUGGCGGUUUGUCGCGUCUGCUGUGAAAAUCCGGGGCUCAACCCCGGACUUGCAGUGGGUACGGGCAGACUAGAGUGUGGUAGGGGAGACUGGAAUUCCUGGUGUAGCGGUGAAAUGCGCAGAUAUCAGGAGGAACACCGAUGGCGAAGGCAGGUCUCUGGGCCACUACUGACGCUGAGAAGCGAAAGCAUGGGGAGCGAACAGG